UGCAAAAAUGAGAGAUGAUGUUGCUGCUUUUGGAGAUUAGCUCAGAACUGCUGAAACACACAGCUACUGUUCAUUGUAUUUCCAAAUUGCUAUGUGAACCUGAUGGACACUUUCUUCUGGAGUUUGGAAGCUGGCUUUUCAGAAUCACACCAACAUUCCAGUAAGGACAAAGGCUUUUGCAGGUGCACAAAAUUUACCAAUACCAGUCAACUUGCUUCCAGGGUACCUGGUAGUGUGUGACCUUUCAAAUUCACUUCAUGUGGAGCAGGUCAGAGGUGUUCUGAGCACAGAGGCUGCAAUCAGGCUGUCUGCAGAAUGCACCAAAUGUGACAGAGACAAUUGUCGGGUCCAAGUGCCAGCAGCAGCAGGAAGGGGUGAGGCUUCUGCAGCUCCAGCUCGACGUGUGCUGCUGUACACAGAAGCCCCAGGGGCCACAGGGAUGCUAAAGAGAACAAAUCAGAUCUAACACCUGGCCCUGAAUCAUACUGGAACAGCACAGCUCAAACAUCUGCAGUUAAAAUUCCUUAUUCUGCAACACAGACUCGUCAUACUUGCAUUACAUUUGGGGAUACAUCCUGUCCCAUGAUGGUAUUUGACCAGCAAUGAGGUCACCAUACUUGGG